AUCUUUUGGGCGGAACCAAAAGUCGGGAAACUUUGGUUCCGCCCGGAUGUUUCCGCCCAGACCGAAGAACGGGAACACCGGACAUCCGGCAGCUUCGCGAAGGCUGUAAUCAGCCGAUUGGGCACAGCUGUGCCUAGUUAAAGAGAUCGCCAGGCAAUUGGGUAACUGAAGUACAGAAAGGAGUAUUUAAAGCACAGUUAAAUGACAGUUCGGGAGUUCGGGCACGAGAGGGGGAUUGACACGGGGAGAGCUCCUCUGCUUAGGGCAGGAGAGGUAACUACGUACCUUUUGAAGAGCCCGCAGGCUCUGUUGAUCCGGGCUGCGCUUGAAGCGCGCGGAAAGAAGACAGGAGCUGCCUGGGGUGAAAGAAAGGCGAUACGUGAGUGGAGAAAAGGAGCACCCCGAAGAGAGCAUUGUGCUGUCAAGCCUGCGUGUAGUGUGUGCUGGAAAACGGAGCUGUGCUCAUUUUUGGACGUGGUGGCUGUCUGUGUUUCUCUCUCUCUCUCUCUCGUUGCAGUCUUUAUUGUGGACCUGCUGGAGUAAACAGGAAAGUCCUAUGGGUAAGAAGGAACUUGGUUCUAACCAAUACUGAAGGAGUAAAGCAGGAAGAAAAUUGACCGUCUGGUACAACGUAAAUAAAGGCUAUCCGCCGUGAGUAUACCCUUUUUGUGUGGAGUAACUGACAAAAAUUGACUUGUGUAGUCAUUGGAAACCUCCAGGAGAGGGAGGGCGGCCCUACCCCUACAAGAGUGUGGUGGGCGAGCCGUUAGAAGUACACAUUCAAACAGCCGCCGCAACGAGACUUAUUGUGGUCGUAUUUCCCAUCGCCUUAUCGUAGCCCAAGCGCAGUGGAGGACACCGGGCGCUUCCCUUGUUGUGGUGCACUUAUAGUGUGAGUCAGAGGCGAAAGGGUCCGCCGCCCCGUGGUCUCUACGAAAAGGGCGCCCCCGUCUAGGAAUUGAUCGGCCUAUGGGCAUUGGAGAUAGGGCAGCGCUCGACCCGGUGAGGUGGUGUGUGACCUUCGCCCCUCUGUUGACCUACGGAGGAGAACCAUACCUACCCCGAAAGCUGUAAACAGCAGAGCCGGUGAGAAUUAUUCGAAGUCUCAGUAACAGUGUCUUUGUGUUCCAGCGGCCACCUGUAGAGAGAGAACAGAACGAGAGUGAAUUAUUGCAGAGCAAACUGUGAACGUGAUACCUACCCACAAAGCUGUAAGCAGCAGAGCCGGUGAGAAUUAUUCGAAGUCUCAGCAACAGUGCCUUUGUGUUCUAGCGGCCACCUGUGGAGAGAGAACAGAACGAGAGUGAAUCAUUGAAGAGCAAACUGUGAACGUGAUACCUACCCAGAGUGCUGUAAGCAGCAGAGCCGGUGAGCAAUACCCGAAGCCCAAGUAACAGUGUCAUUUGUGUCCUAGUGGCCGCCUGUGGAAAACGAGAAGGAACAUGAGGAGAAUGGACUGUGGGAAGAUACAGUGGUGCUGGAGGAGAGCCUAGAGUGGCAAUUGUUUUAAGUCCCCCGCUUCCCCUUCCCUAUUUAAUAUUUUUAAGUAAUUUAAUAAAGGAUAUUUUAAGUUUAUGCUUACCUUGUGUGUCUGGUCAUUGGGGUGGCUUUGGGAAUCUCCUCGAGGUGGAGAAAGGGGCGUGACCUUAUUUACACCUGGGUCCACCCCUACCUGUGACAGAUUUGGCGUAGUCGGCAGGGUCCACCUCGGGUGGAGACCAAGGUCCCCCAAUGGCCUACCACAUUUUUUUUAAAGAAAGCUCCCAUCAACGCUCUAUAAGUCCCCAAACAACGCGUUCUCGGGACGAGAACGGAUUGGCGGGGGAGGAUGUCACAAGGUGACGAUCUUUUGGGCGGAACCAAAAGUCGGGAAACUUUGGUUCCGCCCGGAUGUUUCCGCCCAGACCGAAGAACGGGAACACCGGACAUCCGGCAGCUUCGCGAAGGCUGUAAUCAGCCGAUUGGGCACAGCUGUGCCUAGUUAAAGAGAUCGCCAGGCAAUUGGGUAACUGAAGUACAGAAAGGAGUAUUUAAAGCACAGUUAAAUGACAGUUCGGGAGUUCGGGCACGAGAGGGGGAUUGACACGGGGAGAGCUCCUCUGCUUAGGGCAGGAGAGGUAACUACGUACCUUUUGAAGAGCCCGCAGGCUCUGUUGAUCCGGGCUGCGCUUGAAGCGCGCGGAAAGAAGACAGGAGCUGCCUGGGGUGAAAGAAAGGCGAUACGUGAGUGGAGAAAAGGAGCACCCCGAAGAGAGCAUUGUGCUGUCAAGCCUGCGUGUAGUGUGUGCUGGAAAACGGAGCUGUGCUCAUUUUUGGACGUGGUGGCUGUCUGUGUUUCUCUCUCUCUCUCUCUCGUUGCAGUCUUUAUUGUGGACCUGCUGGAGUAAACAGGAAAGUCCUAUGGGUAAGAAGGAACUUGGUUCUAACCAAUACUGAAGGAGUAAAGCAGGAAGAAAAUUGACCGUCUGGUACAACGUAAAUAAAGGCUAUCCGCCGUGAGUAUACCCUUUUUGUGUGGAGUAACUGACAAAAAUUGACUUGUGUAGUCAUUGGAAACCUCCAGGAGAGGGAGGGCGGCCCUACCCCUACAAGAGUGUGGUGGGCGAGCCGUUAGAAGUACACAUUCAAACAGCCGCCGCAACGAGACUUAUUGUGGUCGUAUUUCCCAUCGCCUUAUCGUAGCCCAAGCGCAGUGGAGGACACCGGGCGCUUCCCUUGUUGUGGUGCACUUAUAGUGUGGUGAGUGAGACUGUGUAAUAAAUCUUUUCACGUUGGAGUGGUGCUGUGUAUCUGCUGUGGGUUGCUGUGUGUCUUGUAGAUGAAGCCCCGCAUCAUCCAUUUUCUUCCACUGGGCAGAGGACGGAGAGGCAAACGACUACAGAAAUCACUGUCACUAUAAGUAGUGUGCUGUUUGGAGUGCGAAGGGACGCAGACUAAGAGCUGUCCGUGACCGUGAGUAAACCAUUGGAAAACAUUCGUGGUGUGAACUUACCUGUGUCUGUUUUCGUCGCAGAGUCAGAGGCGAAAGGGUCCGCCGCCCCGUGGUCUCUACGAAAAGGGCGCCCCCGUCUAGGAAUUGAUCGGCCUAUGGGCAUUGGAGAUAGGGCAGCGCUCGACCCGGUGAGGUGGUGUGUGACCUUCGCCCCUCUGUUGACCUACGGAGGAGAACCAUACCUACCCCGAAAGCUGUAAACAGCAGAGCCGGUGAGAAUUAUUCGAAGUCUCAGUAACAGUGUCUUUGUGUUCCAGCGGCCACCUGUAGAGAGAGAACAGAACGAGAGUGAAUUAUUGCAGAGCAAACUGUGAACGUGAUACCUACCCACAAAGCUGUAAGCAGCAGAGCCGGUGAGAAUUAUUCGAAGUCUCAGCAACAGUGCCUUUGUGUUCUAGCGGCCACCUGUGGAGAGAGAACAGAACGAGAGUGAAUCAUUGAAGAGCAAACUGUGAACGUGAUACCUACCCAGAGUGCUGUAAGCAGCAGAGCCGGUGAGCAAUACCCGAAGCCCAAGUAACAGUGUCAUUUGUGUCCUAGUGGCCGCCUGUGGAAAACGAGAAGGAACAUGAGGAGAAUGGACUGUGGGAAGAUACAGUGGUGCUGGAGGAGAGCCUAGAGUGGCAAUUGUUUUAAGUCCCCCGCUUCCCCUUCCCUAUUUAAUAUUUUUAAGUAAUUUAAUAAAGGAUAUUUUAAGUUUA